rnacentral:misc_RNA from 1 species
AAAGUCGUAACAAGGUUUCCGUAGGUGAACCUGCGGAAGGAUCAUUACCGAGUAGAGGUGGUCGGUCCCGGCAACCCCGGUCCCGGCCGCUGACCUCACCAACCCGUGUCUACCGUACCCCGUUGCUUCGGCGGGCCCGCCCCUAACCGGGCCGCCGGGGGACCGCCGGUCCCCGGGCCCGUGCCCGCCGAAGACCCCCCGAACACUGCCUGAAGGUUGCUGUCUGAGUGGUUGUAAACAAACAAAAACAAAACUUUCAACAACGGAUCUCUUGGUUCCG